AAACUUUCAACAACGGAUCUCUUGGUUCUCGCAUCGAUGAAGAACGCAGCGAAAUGCGAUAAGUAGUGUGAAUUGCAGAAACUAGUGAAUCAUUGAAUCUUUGAACGCACAUUGCGCCUCCUGGUAUUCCGGGAGGCAUGCCUGUUCGAGCGUCA
rnacentral:rRNA from 1 species